GACGACUGGCGCACGGGUGAGUAACGCGUAUCCAACCUUCCCAUAACUACGGGAUAACCCGUUGAAAGACGGCCUAAUACCGUAUGAUAUCGUUUGCUGACAUCAAAUAACGAUUAAAGGUUUAGCGGUUAUGGAUGGGGAUGCGUCUGAUUAGCUUGUUGGCGGGGUAACGGCCCACCAAGGCGACGAUCAGUAGGGGUUCUGAGAGGAAGGUCCCCCACAUUGGAACUGAGACACGGUCCAAACUCC
rnacentral:rRNA from 1 species